ACUAUUUUGGCAGAUUAGUGCAAUAAAUUUAGAAUUUAUUUAUGUAAUUAAAAAUUACAAAUAGUA
rnacentral:tRNA from 1 species